UAACUGAAGAGUUUGAUCAUGGCUCAGAUUGAACGCUGGCGGCAGGCUUAACACAUGCAAGUCGAGCGGAGAGAGGUAGCUUGCUACUGAUCUUAGCGGCGGACGGGUGAGUAAUGCUUAGGAAUCUGCCUAUUAGUGGGGGACAACAUCUCGAAAGGGAUGCUAAUACCGCAUACGUCCUACGGGAGAAAGCAGGGGAUCUUCGGACCUUGCGCUAAUAGAUGAGCCUAAGUCGGAUUAGCUAGUUGGUGGGGUAAAGGCCUACCAAGGCGACGAUCUGUAGCGGGUCUGAGAGGAUGAUCCGCCACACUGGGACUGAGACACGGCCCAGACUCCUACGGGAGGCAGCAGUGGGGAAUAUUGGACAAUGGGGGGAACCCUGAUCCAGCCAUGCCGCGUGUGUGAAGAAGGCCUUAUGGUUGUAAAGCACUUUAAGCGAGGAGGAGGCUACUUUAGUUAAUAUCUAGAGAUAGUGGACGUUACUCGCAGAAUAAGCACCGGCUAACUCUGUGCCAGCAGCCGCGGUAAUACAGAGGGUGCAAGCGUUAAUCGGAUUUACUGGGCGUAAAGCGCGCGUAGGCGGCUAAUUAAGUCAAAUGUGAAAUCCCCGAGCUUAACUUGGGAAUUGCAUUCGAUACUGGUUAGCUAGAGUGUGGGAGAGGAUGGUAGAAUUCCAGGUGUAGCGGUGAAAUGCGUAGAGAUCUGGAGGAAUACCGAUGGCGAAGGCAGCCAUCUGGCCUAACACUGACGCUGAGGUGCGAAAGCAUGGGGAGCAAACAGGAUUAGAUACCCUGGUAGUCCAUGCCGUAAACGAUGUCUACUAGCCGUUGGGGCCUUUGAGGCUUUAGUGGCGCAGCUAACGCGAUAAGUAGACCGCCUGGGGAGUACGGUCGCAAGACUAAAACUCAAAUGAAUUGACGGGGGCCCGCACAAGCGGUGGAGCAUGUGGUUUAAUUCGAUGCAACGCGAAGAACCUUACCUGGCCUUGACAUAGUAAGAACUUUCCAGAGAUGGAUUGGUGCCUUCGGGAACUUACAUACAGGUGCUGCAUGGCUGUCGUCAGCUCGUGUCGUGAGAUGUUGGGUUAAGUCCCGCAACGAGCGCAACCCUUUUCCUUAUUUGCCAGCGAGUAAUGUCGGGAACUUUAAGGAUACUGCCAGUGACAAACUGGAGGAAGGCGGGGACGACGUCAAGUCAUCAUGGCCCUUACGGCCAGGGCUACACACGUGCUACAAUGGUCGGUACAAAGGGUUGCUACACAGCGAUGUGAUGCUAAUCUCAAAAAGCCGAUCGUAGUCCGGAUUGGAGUCUGCAACUCGACUCCAUGAAGUCGGAAUCGCUAGUAAUCGCGGAUCAGAAUGCCGCGGUGAAUACGUUCCCGGGCCUUGUACACACCGCCCGUCACACCAUGGGAGUUUGUUGCACCAGAAGUAGCUAGCCUAACUGCAAAGAGGGCGGUUACCACGGUGUGGCCGAUGACUGGGGUGAAGUCGUAACAAGGUAGCCGUAGGGGAACCUGCGGCUGGAUCACCUCCUUA
rnacentral:rRNA from 1 species